CAGGCUUAACACAUGCAAGUCGAGGGGCAGCAUGGUCUUUUCUUGCUAAGGCCGAUGGCGACCGGCGCACGGGUGAGUAACACGUAUCCAACCUGCCGUCUACUCUUGGACAGCCUUCUGAAAGGAAGAUUAAUACAAGAUGGCAUCAUGAGUCCGCAUGUUCACAUGAUUAAAGGUAUUCCGGUAGACGAUGGGGAUGCGUUCCAUUAGAUAGUAGGCGGGGUAACGGCCCACCUAGUCUUCGAUGGAUAGGGGUUCUGAGAGGAAGGUCCCCCACAUUGGAACUGAGACACGGUCCAAACUCCUACGGGAGGCGGCAGUGAGGAAUAUUGGUCAAUGGGCGAGAGCCUGAACCAGCCAAGUAGCGUGAAGGAUGACUGCCCUAUGGGUUGUAAACUUCUUUUAUAAAGGAAUAAAGUCGGGUAUGGAUACCCGUUUGCAUGUACUUUAUGAAUAAGGAUCGGCUAACUCCGUGCCAGCAGCCGCGGUAAUACGGAGGAUCCGAGCGUUAUCCGGAUUUAUUGGGUUUAAAGGGAGCGUAGAUGGAUGUUUAAGUCAGUUGUGAAAGUUUGCGGCUCAACCGUAAAAUUGCAGUUGAUACUGGAUAUCUUGAGUGCAGUUGAGGCAGGCGGAAUUCGUGGUGUAGCGGUGAAAUGCUUAGAUAUCACGAAGAACUCCGAUUGCGAAGGCAGCCUGCUAAGCUGCAACUGACAUUGAGGCUCGAAAGUGUGGGUAUCAAACAGGAUUAGAUACCCUGGUAGUCCACACGGUAAACGAUGAAUACUCGCUGUUUGCGAUAUACAGCAAGCGGCCAAGCGAAAGCGUUAAGUAUUCCACCUGGGGAGUACGCCGGCAACGGUGAAACUCAAAGGAAUUGACGGGGGCCCGCACAAGCGGAGGAACAUGUGGUUUAAUUCGAUGAUACGCGAGGAACCUUACCCGGGCUUAAAUUGCAGAUGAAUUACGGUGAAAGCCGUAAGCCGCAAGGCAUCUGUGAAGGUGCUGCAUGGUUGUCGUCAGCUCGUGCCGUGAGGUGUCGGCUUAAGUGCCAUAACGAGCGCAACCCUUGUUGUCAGUUACUAACAGGUUCCGCUGAGGACUCUGACAAGACUGCCAUCGUAAGAUGUGAGGAAGGUGGGGAUGACGUCAAAUCAGCACGGCCCUUACGUCCGGGGCUACACACGUGUUACAAUGGGGGGUACAGAGGGCCGCUACCACGCGAGUGGAUGCCAAUCCCCAAAACCUCUCUCAGUUCGGACUGGAGUCUGCAACCCGACUCCACGAAGCUGGAUUCGCUAGUAAUCGCGCAUCAGCCACGGCGCGGUGAAUACGUUCCCGGGCCUUGUACACACCGCCCGUCAAGCCAUGGGAGCCGGGGGUACCUGAAGUGCGUAACCGCGAGGAGCGCCCUAGGGUAAAACUGGUGACUGG
rnacentral:rRNA from 1 species